rnacentral:tRNA from 1 species
UCUCCCGUAGCUCAGUGAUAGAGCAUCUUUCCGGUGUGCGGAAGGUCAUAGCUUUGACUCCUGUUGGGAGAA